rnacentral:lncRNA from 1 species
UGUUGCCAAGUUUAAACGUUCUAAUUUUAAUAUAAUAAUUAUUUCAGUUAAGGUUUUACUGUAAGUAUUCGGUUGUAUACCAUUGUAUACCACUGUAAGUAUACCAUUGAAUAAUUCUUAAUUCAAAAGGUCAACGUACGGGAGAGAUUGGGUAAAAGCCAAAGAAUAUAAUAAUCCCCCCAUUUUAAUUAUACGUUAGUAUGUUUUUCUUUGGGAAAAAUAGAUGUGUUAAGCACGAACUUUAAAUAAAUUAAUAUACCUAUAUAACUGAAAUUAUAGUAUAUAAUUAUAUAUAUAUUAAUUUAUCAUUAUAGGUAUAUUUAUAAAUUCGUGGUUCUAAGUUACUCGUUGUAUAGACAUCCCACUGUUACUGUAGAAAAAACGUCAAUUUAUAGGUUAGGCAUUACAACGUUGCCACCUUUCAAAAUUUACAGAUAAUUUUCAUUAUAAUGAAGUUUAGAUUUGGUUCUGGGCUUUAUUUUAUUACUGAUUGUUCCGACCAAUAUCAUUAAAUAAUUCCUAAUUAAAAAGUUCAACAGAAAAAAGAGCGAAUUUAGGGAAAAAAAAUUGUACUAGGUACACGUGGCACUGCUGUAUUGACAUUUCAACUGUCAGUGUCACAAAUGUCAAAGCUUAAAGCCUUUGUUUACAUUUUAGAACAAAAAAAAUUUUUGUUCAUAUUAAUAAUGCAUAAAAACCGUAUUAAAUACCCUCAAAGACACCGAGGAACGUUAUUUCAUUUACACAAACUAAUAUGCUUAUAGCAGUAGAAAAAUAAUCAAUUAUAUGGACCAGUUAAGGACUCAAAGAAACAAGGAAAUUUAAACGGGAUAUGUGCGAAAAAUCACGUAGAAGCAGUGGGAAUGACUGACAGCCAUCCAAAGAAAACCGAGCAAAAUCACCCUAAAAAUUAAAUUAAAAAAAUUAUUUUGAACCACUGGAAGUCGUGAAAUGUAACCCUAAAAACCCCGGAAUAAAAUGAGACCUUAGUCCGAAUGCCUGGAAUAAUAAAAAGUUUUAUUCGAUAAAUCUGAAACAUCUAAAAACUUACCUGAAAUUAAAGGAACAGUUAUUCCAAAUGCCUGGAAUAGUAAAAAGUUUUUUUUGUAAAACCUGGAAAUUUGAAAUUUAGGCAUACAAGAUUUGGUCAAAUAUCUACCUAAAAUGAAUUCAAUUUCCUACAGAAUUACGUCAAAUGUCUAGAAUACAUACAAAAAUUCAGAUAAAUGUGCUGUGAUAAAUAUUUCCUUCUCCUUAGUUUAAGUAGCUUCAGAACUGACAAGGAUAGAGAAUUGUCAUAUUUUGGAGGCAUUUGAAGUGCAGCAGUUAUACGUGGUUUCCAAAUGAGUGAUCCUCUCCUUAUUGGGUUAAAACCGGUAAAUUUAUCAACAAACUGUUUUAAAACUGGACUACAGGUUGAUAAAAUAUUUAUAUUCUAAUAUUGAUUCCACUCACUCUAAAAUAAGGAUUUUGUACCUUCCAAGCAACUCAUCUCAAUAGGGAUUUUAAGGGCUUUGAAAUAGAAAGAACAUGUUUAUCCCGUAAAAAUUGUAACACGUUUAUUGCAGCAGUAAGUUUAAAACUUCCUUGCGACACAACCGUUUGGAUCUCAAUAAGACUUUUCAUUGUAAAUUAUGCAAAACUUAAAUGGAUAUGAAUCGACUUUUAUUGAGAGGGUCAUAAAACCAACAUUCCCGUGCAAUGAGGUCAAGAUUGGUCUCGUAAUUAAACUCAUUCCUUUUGUAUAUAGACAUUACUUUUAUUGUUUCUUAGGAAUGAUAUUAUGUACAAUAUAAAAUAUGCCAUUAUUUACAUAUAAAAUGGAUGUAUAUAAUAAUAAUAAUAUGAUUGCCUAUUUACAUUUUUAGUUACUUAGUAAAUAUAAAAAUUUGUUUUUUAUGGCAAUAGCCUAAAAUAAUACUAAAAAAUAUAAUUAAUUAUGAGCACAAUUUAUGCUAGACGAUAUAAUAAAAGAUUAAGUAGACGAUAGCCUGACAGACGAAUAAAGUAAAAUUUGGACAAAAUUACACACGAGCAGCUCAAAAUAUCACAUAAAUGUAUUAUUGUAGUUGAAUGGGUGAUUGGACGAAGGAUAACAUCCACAUUUACGCCUACCGUCCUUUUAAAAGGAUUUCAAAAAGAAACCUGUAUUUUUCUGAUUAGGAUUUUGUUAAUUUUUGAAUCGAUAGUGACGAAUAAAACACGCUGUGUUUCUAGUGAUUUUGCAAUGAGUGACUCAAGGUGAGAUAUGUUAAAACUCUUUUCGUUCUUGUUUUGAUUGUUUUUAACAAAUAACAUAACAUACUCACCUUUUUAUAUAUUUGUGGUUUAUGUUUCACACUUCUUGAUCAAUCCAGGAGCGUUCAAUUAAACGAGUCCUUUUAAAAGGACGGUAGGAUUAUAUACUACACUAACCAUGGCAGAAAUCUUAGAGGAAUUGGAGAAUGACUCUACGUCGGACAUUCCUACAGGCAUUACAAUUUUUCCACCCGAAAACUGCGAUACCGAUGAAGAUUCUGGGGGCUGAAGACGAUGUAGUACCAAAUAAUUUACCCGGAGUGCAACUAAGGGCCCCGGCGGAAAUUGCAUUUUAACGUAGAAGGUGAAGACGACUGGGACAGUGAUGACGAUCUAUCACUGUCCACUUUUGUUGAAAGGCGACCUAAACACAUAAAGACAUUUGACUAUACUCUCAAUAAAGAUUUACGGAAAGAGUCUACGUUUAUGCAAUGGCAAUCAGUUCAAACUGCACAAAGCAAUCGUUCCCCUGGAAAUAAUUUCAAGCUGUUCUUUGACGAGAACUUGCUAGGAGAAAUUAUCAAUUUUACCAAUAUUUAUGCACAGCAAACCUUACUGCAGACGAGAUGUACUGCUUCAUAGGGGUGUUACUUGUCAGUGGAUAUACAACUGUUCCAAGGCGACAUAUGUAUUGGCAAAGUUGCAACGAUACCCAGAAUAAACUUAUAUUAGCCGCUAUUUCCAGAGAUAGAUUUCAAUUCAUAACGAGUAAUCUUCAUUGCAGUGAUAAUAAAAAAGACAAGUACUCUAAACUGCGUCCCCUUUUCAGGAGCCUAAAUAAAAAAAUUUUGAUUAUGCUCCAAAAUCACAGCCUCGAUGAGGCCAUGAUACCGUAGGUAUCAUGGUCAUAUCAUUUGGCCAUAUACCGUAGGCUCAUUUGGGGUAGGUACCCUACGCCUUGGAUACAUUGUUUAUUUUGAUCCCAACCAAGGUGCGUCGACAACAAUUGCGGACAAAUAUAAACACCUGAGUUUGGGAGCGUCAGUUAUUCUCCAGUAUGCAGAUGUUUUACAGAAAAUGCCUUAUCAGCCCUUUCACAUAUUUUUUGUCAAUUUUUUCACAUCUUUGUCUAAAAUUGAGGAACAUCAAGGCAACUGAUACUAUACGUGAAAACCGGAUCCCACAAUCUCCAUUUAGCGAUGCGGCAGUGAACAACUAAUGUGACAACGCAGCAUCCUGCGUUUGGGUUUAAAAAUAGAUUCCGCCCUGUUUUUCUUCUCGGCCACCGAUUGUGGUCUUAUGUUUUUUAGGUUUAAUUGUCACCGUAGUCGUAAUAGUAGUUUUUUAAGAAGAAGUAGUAUACGUUUUGCUCUCCUUAUACGCACACGUCACGUUGUUUACAAUUAGACAAUUAGUUAGUAGCUCGCAGUGUUUGUUACCCCAUAGUUUAGUAAUUAUGUUUCUCACGCAUUAAUGAGACAAUAUUGUUUAGUUUACAGUUUUACACAGUAAAAAUUUCUCUCGCCAUAAAAUAAAUUUCGCAGCUAUAUGCUUUUGUGUAGAUAUAGUUGUUGUCUUAGUGGACAGUGUUUUUUGACGUCACUCAUUUACAUUCCCAGUGGUUCUUCUUCUUUGACUCUGACUCUUGAAAACUUAGAUUGGUUAGCAUGUACUGAUUGGGAUAACCUAUCUAACUUACAGUGAAAUACAGUGUUGAAUUGGGGUCAAUAAAGUUAUUGAUCCAUUGUAAGUGCAUGCAGAACUUUACAAGGGUUCUAACGACGGUCAAAUUUUAAAUAAAUUGUUUUGUUCUGAAUCAUUUUAUUUUAUUAAUUACCAAAGGCUAAUUACAAAUGAGCAAGAUUGAGCUAAGACCCAAACCACGCCAACUUUAGCCACCAAUGCAUGUUCAGUUUUGCCAGUAAAUAAGGUCAAACGAUAUUCACAGUCUGAAAAAAAACAUGUUUAUAUAGAUCAGCCUCAAUUGAUCACGAAAAUAUGGGAGGUGUAGACCGUAGUGACCAAAACAUAAGCCAAUAUCGAGUUUCAGUACGAGGUAAAAAGUGGUAUUUUCCCACUGUGUAGACAUGGCCUCACAAAACUCGUGGCAACUCCACAGGAAUAAUGGUGGUACUCUUGACCAACUUCAGUUUAGAAGGGACCUAGGGACACAGCUGCUCGAAACGUACAGGAAAACAACUAAGAGAGGACCUUCGAAAUUGCCAAAAACUGCAUUCCAAUUCUCACGUUACGAUAGACUAGAUCAUUUAGUUACAUAUCACGAGUAGAGUCAGCGGAAAUGUGCUGUGUGCCACAAAAAAGUAAAUUUUGUGUGCCAAAAAUGUGCAGUUGGUCUUCACCCAAAAAACUGUUUUGUGGACUAUCAUACAAAUUGGUUUUUAAGUAUUUUGCUAAGCAUUUUGUACGAUAUAUAUACAUAUUUUUAAGUCUUUACUUAUUUUUCUAAUAGUAGCCCUUUAUCAUACCGUCCUUUUAAAAGGACCGCCGUUUUUUCUAAAACUGGAAAAACAUGAUUUUUUCUCGACUUAUGGGACCUUCUAUUGACCGUUUU